GGCCCUGUGCGUGAGUGGUCAAGCGCUCCGGUUGCAACCCGGAUGAAAUUGUCGGUUCGAUUCCGACCAGGGUCUCCA
rnacentral:tRNA from 1 species